AACGAACGCUGGCGGCAUGCCUAACACAUGCAAGUCGAACGAGACCUUCAGGUCUAGUGGCGCACGGGUGCGUAACGCGUGGGAAUCUGCCCAAAGGUUCGGAAUAACUCGGGGAAACCCGAGCUAAUACCGGAUGAUGUCUUCGGACCAAAGAUUUAUCGCCUUUGGAUGAGCCCGCGUCGGAUUAGCUUGUUGGUGAGGUAAAAGCUCACCAAGGCGACGAUCCGUAGCUGGUCUGAGAGGAUGAUCAGCCACACUGGGACUGAGACACGGCCCAGACUCCUACGGGAGGCAGCAGUGGGGAAUAUUGGACAAUGGGCGCAAGCCUGAUCCAGCAAUGCCGCGUGAGUGAUGAAGGCCUUAGGGUUGUAAAGCUCUUUUACCCGGGAUGAUAAUGACAGUACCGGGAGAAUAAGCCCCGGCUAACUCCGUGCCAGCAGCCGCGGUAAUACGGAGGGGGCUAGCGUUGUUCGGAAUUACUGGGCGUAAAGCGCACGUA
rnacentral:rRNA from 1 species